ensembl:lncRNA
GUGUCUGACAUUGUGGAUGGGAUCUGCAGCCGCUUGGACCUGAUCCGCCGUCCCAGCGCCAGGCGGUUGGUGAUGAAGCUGGUGGGCCUCUUGGCCGGGAGGAGGGAGCACCUGGACACCGUGAUUUCCAGCCUCUUGCAGCAUUCCUUCCCCACAGACAGCAAUUUGUCUGAACUGUGGCAAUCACUCUCGACAGAGGAAGUGGUGGAAGAGCAGCUGAUGGCCAACCUUCUCAGACGUUUGGAGACCCACCACUGCGCAGAGACCCAGACUUCGCCCGUGUCCAUUGCGAUCACACAGGCUUUGUACCAGGUCAUCUCCGUCCCGGAGUCCAUAGUGACCAUCCACAGGCUCUACCCUGACCUCCUCAUGACCUUCCUUGCUGAGCUCUAUUUCAGUUGCCGGGCGCACAUUUUGCCAGAUUUGAACCAACUCUGGAGACAAUGCGGACGGGAGGAAGGCCUGGCAAGGUGCAGUACACAUCUUGAUGAAGCCCUGUGUCAGUUUUAGUCCAAAAAUGAGUUGUUACUAUUGUUGUUACUGUUGUUGCUGUUGUUGUUGUUACAUGGUGCCCUGUUUUGUCUUUCAAAUAAAUGAAAACUGCUUUACUUCAGCAAAACAUAAAGUACAGUACACUCAGUGGAAUAAUGCAAAAGGAAGCAAGAAAGUCUUAGGACAAACACAGUUCUUAGUCUCUGAUAAAUUCCCAAAUCACAUAGCAGUCUUACUUCAGACAAAGAAACAGCAACAAAUCCUUAGGAGCAGUUUCCCAGAUGCAGACUCGAAGCAGGCACAAGGGGAGUGAAGGCUUAGGCAUUACGAGUUAGUUUGUUACCAGCAAGAGCUGGCUGCACCUGCUUCUGCUUUAUAGCCUUGAGUCCCCUCACAGCUGCAAGGGCAGUUCCCAAUUAGCUGCAUUUCUGGCAGCUAUUCUAGCUGAACGACAUCUCUGCUCUGUUUCCUUUCGCCUCUCCUGAAAUGUGGGUACUUGCAAAAUCUCCUCCUCAGAUUCCAACUCACCCUCUGAUUCAUGAACACUUUCCUGCUCCCCUUCCGCUUCUGAAGAAGAGGAAUCCCUAACACAUGGGGACCAAGCCCAGAAAAUCAAGUAACAGAUAUAAAAAUUAAAACACAUAACAACAGUAUAAUUAAAGCAAUAAGCGACAGAAUAAAACAUCAUAAAAUACAUCAAUGAGCAUCAAAAUUAAAAAGUGGAACUGUUAAAAUUGCAAGGGAAGGGCAGGGCUUGUGCAAAACGCAGGACGAUAGGGUCAGAAGUGGGAGGAAACAAUUAGGACUGGGCAGUGAUCAAUUACGAGAGGACCUAUUGUUCAAAGGCACAUUGGAACAUCCAUGUCUUCAAGUCUUUACGGAAGGUGGACAGGGUGGGGGCUAAUCCAAUCUCCCUGGGGAGAGAGUUCCAGAGCCAGGGGACCACCACCGAAAAGGCCCUCUCCCUCGUCCCUACCAACCGCGCUUGUGACUGAGUCGGGAGCAAGAGAAAGGCAGAUCUAAGAGCUCAUGCUGGUUCAUAGGGAGAGAUAUGGUCGUGAAGAUAGGCAGGACCCAAAACCUUUUCAUAAAAGCCACAAAAGCUGUCUCAUUGACUGUCUUUAACCAAUUGCACUUCCAUUCAGGGAUUUUUUCCCAGUAUUGGACACAAUACUGUGUCCAAUUUUGGGCACUGCAGUUGAAGGGAGAUGUUGACAAGCUGGAAAGCGUCUAGAGGAGGGCGACUAAAACGAUUAAGGGUCUGGAGAACAAGCCCUAUGAGGAGCGGCUUAAAGAGCUGGGCAUGUUUAGCCUGCAGAAGAGAAGGCUGAGAGGAGACAUGAUAGCCAUGACAAAUACGUGAAGGGAAGUCAUAGGGGAGGAGGGAAGGGAGCUUGUUUUCUGCUGCCCUGCAGACUAGGGACACGGAACAACCGCUUUCAAACUACGGGAAAGGGAAAAUCCCACCUGAAACAUCCGGAAGAACUUCCUCACU